UUUGGAAAAGAGGAGUCUUCCUCUCUAGAAAAGAAUGAAUUGUGAAGUUUUAAUUUAGACAAACAACUGCAUAUACCUCCUCCUCUUCUUCUUUUUUUGCUAAAUAAAGAGUUCCACGUUACAAUGGGGGCCUCCUCAUCACAUAGUAUAAUCGAAGUACCUGCAGGUAUUGUUAAGCUGAUUGACAAAACAAUUUAUGUUAUUCUUAUUUUUAUAAUAAUUUUUUUUGAGGCAUUAUGCUAUUAGUAAUGUAAGUGCUUCCAAAUUUUAAAAACUCGAUCAGGGGAUGGAAAUUCAGACUACAAGGUGCAACUUCAGAAAGCAAUACGCAGGAACGACUGGAACAAUCUCAGAGAUCUUUUGGAUAAAUUCCCCGCAGCUCUUACGGAACCAAUUACGGAUCAUGAUGGAGCGAC
rnacentral:lncRNA from 1 species